GGGGGCGAUUCGGAUUCGACGACGGUAUUGAACCCUGAGGUGCAUGCCGAGGGCGUAGUGGUUCUCGUUAAUCAAAACACUACAAACCUAUUAGUUGCCAAUGAUAGCAACUUUGAAGCUGCAGCAGCCGCUGCUUAAUCGUACUUAACACUACGAAGCUUCCAGUCUAACCGGCUCGUCUGCUGGCUGGUAUUCAGACUGUCAUCGUAAGCGGGCUCGCCACGAUCAGCAGGUCUCUGGCUGACGGGUUAAAACUUGUGAGAAUCGCACUGAAGAACCCCGACCACUGGGUCGCUACGGUGUAAAAACUAAAGGUGGAUCUAAGCAUGUAGAGCCAAAGGCUGAGAGCUGGCGGACGCGGGUUCAAGUCCCGCCGCCUCCACCA
rnacentral:tmRNA from 1 species